CCUACGGGGGGCUGCAGUGGGGAAUCUUGCACAAUGGGCGCAAGCCUGACCCAGCAACGCCGCGUUAAGGAAGAAGGCUUUCGGGUUGUAAACUUCUUUUCUCAGGGACGAAGAAAGUGACGAUACCGGAGGAAUAAGCCACUGAUAACUACGUGACAGCAGCCGCGGUAAUACGGAGGUGGCAAGCGUUAGCCGGAUUUACUGGGUGUAAAGGAGGUGUAGGUGGUACUGUAAGGCAGUUGUGAAAACCACGGGCUGAACCUGUGGACUGCAUUUGAAACUGUAGGUCUUGAGUAUAGGAGAGGGAGACGGAAGUCCCGGUGUAGCGGUGAAAUGCGUAGAUAUUGGGAGGAACACCAGUGGCGAAGGCGGUCUGCUGGACAGUAACUGACGCUGAGGCGCGAAAGCGUGGGGAGCAAACAGGAUUAGAUACCCCGGUAGUC
rnacentral:rRNA from 1 species